rnacentral:rRNA from 1 species
UACAGGGGGGGCAAGCGUUGUUCGGAAUUACUGGGCGUAAAGGGCUCGUAGGUGGCCAACUAAGUCAGACGUGAAAUCCCUCAGCUUAACUGGGGAACUGCGUCUGAUACUGGAUGGCUUGAGAUUGGGAGAGGGAUGCGGAAUUCCUGGUGUAGCGGUGAAAUGCGCAGAUAUCAGGAGGAACACCGGUGGCGAAGGCGGGUCUCUGGGCCGAUACUGACGCUGAGGAGCGAAAGCGUGGGGAGCGAACAGG